CCUACGGGGUGCAGCAGUGGGGAAUAUUGGGCAAUGGGCGCAAGCCUGACCCAGCAACGCCGCGUGAAGGAAGAAGGCCCUCGGGUUGUAAACUUCUUUUAUCAAGGUCGAAACAAAUGACGGUACUUGAUGAAUAAGCCACGGCUAACUACGUGCCAGCAGCCGCGGUAAUACGUAGGUGGCAAGCGUUAUCCGGAUUUAUUGGGUUUAAAGGGUGCGUAGGCGGGCUGUUAAGUCAGCGGUCAAAUGUCGGGGCUCAACCCCGGCCUGCCGUUGAAACUGGCGGCCUCGAGUGGGCGAGAAGUAUGCGGAAUGCGUGGUGUAGCGGUGAAAUGCAUAGAUAUCACGCAGAACUCCGAUUGCGAAGGCAGCAUACCGGCGCCCGACUGACGCUGAGGCACGAAAGCGUGGGUAUCGAACAGGAUUAGAUACCCCAGUAGUC
rnacentral:rRNA from 1 species